GACGUAGGGUGCGAGCGUUGUCCGGAUUUAUUGGGCGUAAAGAGCUCGUAGGCGGCUCGUCGCGUCGACCGUGAAACCCGCGGCUUAACUGCGGGCUUGCGGUUGAUACGGGCGGCUAGAGUUCGGUAGGGGAGACUGGAAUUCCUGGUGUGAGCGGUGAAAUGCGCAGAUAUCAGGAGGAACACCAAUGGCGAAGGCAGCUCGCUGGGACGGUACUGACGCUGAGACGCGAAGCGUGGGGAGCAAACAGG
rnacentral:rRNA from 1 species